UACAGGGGGGCAAGCGUUGUUCGGAAUUACUGGGCGUAAAGGGUCUGUAGGUGGCCAACUAAGUCAGACGUGAAAUCCCUCAGCUUAACUGGGGAACUGCGUCUGAUACUGGAUGGCUCGAGUGUGGGAGAGGAAUGCGGAAUUCCAGGUGUAGCGGUGAAAAUGCGUAGAUAUCUGGAGGAACACCGGUGGCGAAGGCGGCAUUCUGGACCACAACUGACACUGAGAGACGAAAGCCAGGGGAGCAAACGGG
rnacentral:rRNA from 1 species